rnacentral:rRNA from 1 species
UACGUAGGGUGCAAGCGUUGUCCGGAAUUAUUGGGCGUAAAGAGCUCGUAGGCGGUUUGUUGUGUCGGCUGUGAAAUCCCGAGGCUCAACCUCGGGUCUGCAGUCGAUACGAGCAAACUAGAGUGUUGCAGGGGAGACUGGAAUUCCUGGUGUAGCGGUGAAAUGCGCAGAUAUCAGGAGGAACACCGGUGGCGAAGGCGGGUCUCUGGGCAACAACUGACGCUGAGGAGCGAAAGCGUGGGGAGCAAACAGG